CCUACGGGAGGCAGCAGUGAGGAAUAUUGGUCAAUGGACGAGAGUCUGAACCAGCCAAGUAGCGUGAAGGAUGACUGCCCUAUGGGUUGUAAACUUCUUUUAUAUGGGAAUAAAAUGUUCCACGUUUGGGAUUUUGUAUGUACCAUAUGAAUAAGGAUCGGCUAACUCCGUGCCAGCAGCCGCGGUAAUACGGAGGAUCCGAGCGUUAUCCGGAUUUCUUGGGUUUAAAGGGAGCGUAGGUGGAGUGUUAAGUCAGUUGUGAAAGUUUGCGGCUCAACCGUAAAAUUGCAGUUGAAACUGGCAGUCUUGAGUACAGGAGAGGUAGGCGGAAUUCGUGGUGUAGCGGUGAAAUGCUUAGAUAUCACGAAGAACUCCGAUUGCGAAGGCAGCUUACUGGACUGCAACUGACACUGAGGCUCGAAAGUGUGGGUAUCAAACAGGAUUAGAUACCCGGGUAGUC
rnacentral:rRNA from 1 species